CCUACCUGGUUGAUCCUGCCAGUAGUCAUAUGCUUGUCUCAAAGAUUAAGCCAUGCAUGUCUAAGUCCAAGCUGUGUUCACACGGCGAGACCGCGGACGGCUCAUUAAAUCAGUCGUGGUCCAAAUGGGCCAGUGCAAAUCCUACUUGGAUAACUGUGGUAAUUCCAGAGCUAAUACAUGCAACUGAUAUCCCGAAGGCUGGUGCUUGCUUGUCUUGGGCUUCGCUCCGACGGAUGCUUUUAUUAGACCAAGCCGCUGAGGACUUGAGGGUGUUAAAACCUUCCUGUUCGACUCGUGUGAUGGUGACUCUGGAUAACCAAUUCUGACAAGCGCACGUACUCCUCUUCUGAGCGAGACGGCGCUGCCACUUUCGAGUGUCUGCCUUAUCAGCUAUCAACCGUUCGUUAUGUGCGACCGAUGGCUUUGACGGGUAACGGGGAAUCAGGGUUCGAUUCCGGAGAGGCAGCCUGAGAGACGGCUACCACGUCCAAGGACGGCAGCAGGCACGCAAAUUACCCAAUCCCAGCAACUGGGGGAGGUAGUGACGAAAUCUAACGAUGCGGGCGCCCUUUUUGGGGCCCCGCAAUCGGAAUGGGCACUUUCUAAAUAACCUGUUGAGAACCUACUGAAGGGCAAGUCUGGUGCCAGCAGCCGCGGUAAUUCCAGCUUCAGCAGCAUCUAUUAAAGUUGCUGCGGUUAAAAGGCUCGCAGUUGAAUGUCAGUAUCGAGCGCAGGUCAGGUGGACGUUGGGGUGUGAGAGCUAAAGGUUCUGAUCUUGGUUCAGGCUUGCUUGUUCCUCGUGAAGUUCCUUCUCACAAACUCCCGUCCGUGACAAGCCUCCUCGCUUGCGUACAUAUCGGAAUCGGAUCAUGGAGUGUGCGCAGUGGUGUCCCUUGGGGCAUUGCUCGCACGUUAAGCUUCUUCGGUUUUAUGGUCACCUUGAGUAAAUCAGAGUGCUCAAAGCAGUCGUAGGGGCCUUGCGCCCUGUGAACAGUCUUGACGGACUGACUUGGUUUUGCAUGGCAUGUCGGAAGACGACGUCGUGUGCUGGCUCAGAGUAAUCAGUGGUAAAAGCCAGCCUCGACGUACUGAUUAAGAGGGACGGUCGAGGGCAUUGGUAUUGCGAGGCGAGAGGUGAAAUUCUAUGACCCCCGCAAGACCUCCUGAAGCGAAAGCGUCUGCCAAGGACGUUUUCAUUAAUCAUGAACCAAAGUUAGAGGAUCGAAGGCGAUCAGAUACCGCCCUAGUUCUAACCCUAAACGAUGCCAACCAUCAAUCCGCGCGUAGCACCCUUCUUAACGGGCUCGGCGGGCAGCUCCCCACUCACGGGAAACCAGAGUCUCUGGGUUCCGGGGGGAGUCUGGUUGCAAAGCUGAAACUUAAAGGAAUUGACGGAAAGGCACCACCAGGCGUGGAGCUGCGGCUUAAUUUGACUCAACACGGGCCAUCUUACCAGGCCAGCACUCUUGUACGAUUGACAGAUUGAGAGCUCUUUCUCGAUUCAGUGGAUGGUGGUGCAUGGCCGUUCUUAGUUGGUGGAGUGAUUUGUCUGGUUAAUUCCGAUAACGAACGAGACUCUCCCCUGCUAACUAGUCGGUUGGAUCUUGCUCGGUGAGUUGCGUGCCGGGAACACCCUUCGAGUGCGGUUUUCGGGGUUGGCUUGGUGGCUUGUUCCUUUACGGGUUCGGGUCAUUCUUGCCCUCUUCGUGCGUGCUAGUUGGGCCUCGGUUAACGCACUCCAAGUCCGCCGCUUAUGCUAUAACUCUUCUUAGAGGGAUUCACGGUUCUGAAGCCGUCAGAGACUGAGAGCAAUAACAGGUCUGUGAUGCCCUUAGAUGCUCUGGGCUGCACGCGCGCUACAAUGCCGGGCACAGCAGGUCUUUUCCCUGCUCCGACAGGAGCGGGUAACCCUCUGAAAGCCAGUUUGUACUCGUGUCUGACACGAAAGGCGUGCUUGGGCCUGGGGCUUGCAAUUCUUUCCCACAAACGAGGAAUGCCUAGUAGCGGCGGGUCACUGAGCCCGCUGUGACUCAGUCCCUGCCCUUUGUACACACCGCCCGUCGCUACUACCGAUUGGGUGUACCAGUGAGAGCCUUGGACUGGCGUCCGUUGCCUUCGGGCAAACGGGUCCGACGGAAAGAGGUCCGAACUGGUGCACUUAGAGGAAGUAAAAGUCGUAACAAGGUUUCCGUAGUGAACCUGCGGAAGGAUCAUUA
rnacentral:rRNA from 1 species